GGGGCCUGCGGAAGGAUCAUUA
rnacentral:rRNA from 1 species